rnacentral:rRNA from 1 species
UACGGGGGGGGGUAAGCGUUGUUCGGAAUUACUGGGCGUAAAGGGCUCGUAGGCGGCCAACUAAGUCAGACGUGAAAUCCCCAGGCUUAACCUGGGAACUGCGUCUGAUACUGGAUGGCUUGAAUUCGGGAGAGGGAUGCAGAAUUCCAGGUGUAGCGGUGAAAUGCGUAGAUAUCUGGAGGAAUACCGGUGGCGAAGGCGGCAUCCUGGACCGACAUUGACGCUGAGGAGCGAAAGCUAGGGGAGCAAACGGG